CUAUAAGAGACCCCUGUACUCCUUCGUUGUUUCUUUGCAAGGUUCAGUGAGUAAUAAAGCCAAGAUACAGGAGCGAUCGGCUCCGCGGCGUUCGUCGCUGUAAAAUCCAUUGUUCAUCGUCUCCCUCACCGGCGUUUGUGUUCGUGAGUGUGAGAGUUUUCCUGGGCUGAGCCAACACUGUUUGAUGCAUGCUCCGUUUAUAUGUUGUCGUUCCACUGCAGAGUGUGUGUGUAUGUUUUUUUUUAAAAAAAAAUUCUUGACGAGAUCAAGACGUGAAGACCUGGGCCGAACUCUGAAAUUGCCACCCAUGAAUUGUGCAGUAUCUUUCAUGCUUCGUUAAUCUGAAUGAAUUUGCGCCUGUUGCAUACUGAACAUGAAAACUCUGAAAUUGUUGGUUUCACUCUCUUUAAAGAGCUGCCGUCUCAAAUAUUUUUCUUACAAAUCUUAAUUCAUCAUUUCACUGCAUGCUUAAUGGUCAAAUUAAGUUUUUCUAAAUAGUAGUACUCCUGCUACGUUCGUCUCCAAGGCAAAGCAUAAUGUAUUUCCUAUUCCUUAUCAAAGUAGAGCCUUAUAAUUUCAACCUAGCAUUACUCAUUUUCUUCAUUUCUUGCCACUAUUCCUCGUGCAUGUAUACAUACAUACAUACAUACAUACAUACAUACAUACAUACAUACAUACAUUACAGCUAUACGCAUAUACAGUUUUCAGUCGCAUAGAAUUAUAAUUCUAUGUUUUUUUUUCUUCAGAUGAUCUCCUUGCCGUUGCCGUCGCCUUCGGCGGCGACCUGAGCGGAGGCGGAGGCGUCGCAGCCGUCGUCGGCGCCGCCGGAGUUGUACCACCUCGCGC
rnacentral:lncRNA from 1 species